UUCAUACUCCCUCCGUCCAAAAAUACUUGUCAUCAAAAUGUAUAAAAAGAGAUGUAUCUAAAACUAAAAUACAUCUAUAUACAUUUCCUUUUAUCCAUUUUGAUGACAAGUAUUUGUGGACGGAGGGAGUACUAA
rfam:Triticum aestivum genome assembly, contig: Triticum_aestivum_CS42_TGACv1_scaffold_030245_1BL